UGGGGAAGUAUUGCGCAAUGGGCGAAAGCCUGACGCAGCGACGCCGCGUGAGGGAUGAAGGUUUUCGGAUCGUAAACCUCUGUCAGAAGGGAAGAAGUUGCAUGGGCCAAUCACCUGUGCAUUGACGGUACCUUCAAAGGAAGCACCGGCUAACUCCGUGCCAGCAGCCGCGGUAAUACGGAGGGUGCGAGCGUUAAUCGGAAUUACUGGGCGUAAAGCGCACGUAGGCUGUAUGUCAAGUCAAGGGUGAAAUCCCACGGCUCAACCGUGGAACUGCCUUUGAAACUGGCAAACUGGAGUAUGUGAGAGGGCGGCGGAAUUCCUGGUGUAGGAGUGAAAUCCGUAGAUAUCAGGAGGAACAUCAGUGGCGAAGGCGGCCGCCUGGCACAAAAGCUGACGCUGAGGUGCGAAAGCGUGGGGUAGCAAACAGGAUUAGAUACC
rnacentral:rRNA from 1 species